GAUCGAGCUAGGGGAUAUUGUGUUAAGUCAUUUAAAGAUAUAGAUUUUGAGUGUUUUUCUAAGAAAUGUAAUGAUAAUGACAUUGAAAGACCAUCCACGGAAAAGGAUGUGCAAGAGACUGAAGUUUCUCAAGUCAAGUCAAAUCGCAAAAGAAAACGUUCUUUUGUGGUGCAAGAUGUCGUAGGUGAUAUAUCAAUAAAAUUUGGAGAAGUGGC
rnacentral:lncRNA from 1 species